GUGGACGAGUAAAGGACCCGGGAAGCUGCUGGGACAACUAUGACCCGUGGGUCAGCCUCUGCUUUUUAAGUUCUCCAAACUCCUUGUAACCUGCGCGCUGACCAAGCAAAUCUAUAAAUUUAGUAGCAGAGAGGAAGCCGGAUGAUGUGGGCUGUUGGUGGGAUUGGAUGGAAUGGUCGAUGACUCAGAGAUGACCCAGAUCGACGGAGUAGGUUCAGGUGGUUCGCGGGGAGGCGAUGGUCUGGCAAAAUAGUGACGAGACGCCGGCAGCAACUUGAUAGGAAACCGCGUUUCUGUGAAGGAUGGAAUUUUGUUGUAAUGCUUGCGCGGAGAAAAAUGACGUAACUACGUAACUGAAGCACGGAGUCGGCCGGGAAAAAAUGCUUCGGGCGCCGGUUGGCAACAGCGCGCCCUGGAAGGUUUAAACUGGAAACGUAAUUCAGUUAUAUUCCCAAUCGCGUUAGCCAGGUCUGCGCGUUACCAGACUUCAGAAAUUCGC
rnacentral:lncRNA from 1 species